AUGGAGACGAGCUCCUCCCGAACCAAGGCUGUGCCCUUGCUUCCUUCCCUCUUCCUCGAGUUCUCUCUCUCUCUGUCGCUCAAAUUUCUCUAUGUUGUCUUUGCCCCGCAGGACGUCAUGGAUGCACGAGCUCGAUCCUCGCUCGCUCGUGCCUUCAUCUUCGACCCUGUGUCCCUGCCGAAGCCCGCGCCAAGUCCCUCGCAGAGUCGCCGCCCGGAUCAGGCCGUCCCCACAUCGUCCCUGUCGCCAAGUUCGUCACCCGCAACGGCGUAG
rnacentral:rRNA from 1 species